GAUCUUUGAAAAGGUGUACCUGCAUUAUUAUGCCAUUAUCAUUAUAUAUUAAAUGAAAAUGGUCUCGGAACGACAAUAUUAUCGUUUAUCGCAAUAAUUUCUGGGACAAUUUAUUGUCCAGCAAAACUUGUUACCGUUUUAUACUGGAACAAU